AGCGAACGCUGGCGGCGUACUUAACACAUGCAAGUCGAACGGGAGUUUGUUUGUAGCAAUAUGAGUGAACUCUAGUGGCGAAAGGGUGCGUAACACGUGGCUACCUACCUCGAAGUUGGGGAUAGCUCGGCGAAAGCCGGAUUAAUACCGAAUGUGAUCGUGAGAUCAAAGCUGGGGAUCGUAAGACCUGGCGCUUUGAGAUGGGGCUGCGGCCUAUCAGCUAGNGGUGAGGUAACGGCUCACCAAGGCUUAGACGGGUAGCUGGUCUGAGAGGACGACCAGCCACACUGGAACUGAGACACGGUCCAGACACCUACGGGUGGCAGCAGUCGAGGAUUUUUCUCAAUGGGGGAAACCCUGAAGGAGCGACGCCGCGUGAGGGAUGAAGGUCUUCGGAUUGUAAACCUCUGUCAUCUGGGAACAAUGUGAUCUACCUACACGUGGAUUAUGAUAGUACCGGAAGAGGAAGCAGUGGCUAACUCUGUGCCAGCC
rnacentral:rRNA from 1 species